UGGGGCCAAGGGGGAGAGGAAAAGCUGCCCCCAUCCCGACCCCACCGUGUUCCACCUGAUGAGGCUAAGGAGGAGAGGAAAAGCUGCCCCCACCCCGACCCCACUGUGUUCCACCUGAUGAGCAGCGAUGGCACCUGCACCCCAGAGCUGGACGUGCUAGGGGCCAGGACAUCCCAGAGGAAGACGGCGUCCCCUGCGCUGAGGACCUGCUGCUGGUCAGGAGAGAAGGCCACAGCCUGCACGGGUUCCGAGUGGCCGAUGUACACCUAGGGGUAGCGGCGUCACAUGCAGGACCCCGAGGCGGGGCAUGGAUGCUGCCGUGUGCCCAGUCCCCAGGGACGGGGUCUCCAGGGCCACCUGAGGAGGCUCCUGACCGCCAAAGCCACCUGCCUCCCCACGCACACACCUGGGGGCCUGGGCUGGCCUGUGU
rnacentral:lncRNA from 1 species